GACGAACGCUGGCGGCGUGCUUAACACAUGCAAGUCGAACGGAAAGGCCCUGCUUUUGUGGGGUGCUCGAGUGGCGAACGGGUGAGUAACACGUGAGUAACCUGCCCUUGACUUUGGGAUAACUUCAGGAAACUGGGGCUAAUACCGGAUAGGAGCUCCUGCUGCAUGGUGGGGGUUGGAAAGUUUCGGCGGUUGGGGAUGGACUCGCGGCUUAUCAGCUUGUUUGUGGGGUAGUGGCUUACCAAGGCUUUGACGGGUAGCCGGCCUGAGAGGGUGACCGGCGACAUUGGGCCUGAGAUACGGCCCAGACGCCUACGGGAGGCAGCAGUGGGGAAUAUUGCACAAUGGGCGGGAGCCUGAUGCAGCAACGCCGCGUGCGGGAUGACGGCCUUCGGGUUGUAAACCGCUUUCGCCUGUGACGAAGCGUGAGUGACGGUAAUGGGUAAAGAAGCACCGGCUAACUACGUG
rnacentral:rRNA from 1 species